rnacentral:rRNA from 1 species
GACGAACGCUGGCGGCGUGCUUAACACAUGCAAGUCGAACGGAAAGGCCCUGCUUUUGUGGGGUACUCGAGUGGCGAACGGGUGAGUAACACGUGAGUAACCUGCCCUUGACUUUGGGAUAACUUCAGGAAACUGGGGCUAAUACCGGAUAGGAGCUCCUGCUGCAUGGUGGGGGUUGGAAAGUUUCGGCGGUUGGGGAUGGACUCGCGGCUUAUCAGCUUGUUGGUGGGGUAGUGGCUUACCAAGGCUUUGACGGGUAGCCGGCCUGAGAGGGUGACCGGCCACAUUGGGACUGAGAUACGGCCCAGACUCCUACGGGAGGCAGCAGUGGGGAAUAUUGCACAAUGGGCGGAAGCCUGAUGCAGCAACGCCGCGCGCGGGAUGACGGCCUUCGGGUUGUAAACCGCUUUCGCCUGUGACGAAGCGUGAGUGACGGUAAUGGGUAAAGAAGCACCGGCUAACUACGUG